CAGGGAUUAAAGCGGACAGGAUGCUAUUUUCAUGCUGCUUCUGAAAGGAAUGGCUUCUCUUCCAGCAGAGGAAGGAGCUGCGGCUGCACGGUGCCAUGCAACAGCGAGCUGCCUGCCAGCUUCCUGUCCAGACCAGGGGUCAGCAGCUCCCUGAAGGACGUGCCCGGCUGCUGAGCUGCAGUGGCCACAUGAGAGCAGCAGCAGCAGCACAGCCCUGCUCCACCAGCCUGGGUGCACAGGAGCUCCCUGACCUCAGGCCUAGCACACAGCAGGUUCCCAAAGUCAGCAUGCGUGACUCUGAAAGGUCCCACCCCGGCCAGAGUGAGGCAGCAAAGCUUCCAGAAGCCAAAGCAGCUGAAAUGAAAAAACGUUCUGUAUUCCACCACUUCAGCUUUGUACAGUAGUGUCAGAAAUAUCACAGCUGGAACCAAUGCUGUCUAGAAGCUCUGAUACAGGCCCAGCUGCUUGUGAUUCUACAGCACGCCCACAGGAAUUCAAACAACAGGUAAUGACUACCAGUCUCUAGAGAAACACUUUGCUAACAAAAAUGUGUUGGUUUAAGUAUAAGGCAUGAAGCUCUACAGCCUGUGGUGUCACAUGGGAGCUCAGAUAAGAUUAUAUGACACACAGUGGUCAUAAAAAUCAGCCCACCUCAGUUAGGUCUUUGAAUAAGCCUAGCACCAUUAAGUACAACUUGCACAACUUCCCUUGUUCAGGCACAGGAAAAACAUGGUAGUA
rnacentral:lncRNA from 1 species